rnacentral:rRNA from 1 species
UACAGAGGGUGCGAGCGUUCCUCGGAAUUACUGGGCGUAAAGCGCACGUAGGUGGCUUAGUAAGUCGGAUGUGAAAUCCCCAGGCUUAACCUGGGAACUGCAUUCGAAACUGCUUUGCUAGAGUAUGGGAGAGGGCAGUGGAAUUUCAGGUGUAGCGGUGAAAUGCGUAGAUAUCUGAAGGAACAUCAGUGGCGAAAGCGACUGCCUGGACCAAUACUGACGCUCAUGUGCGAAAGCGUGGGGAGCAAACAGG